AUGUGGGCGGCACAAGUGGCUCCCUCCCUUCCUCCUUCACUUAUGACGUCUCACUGUCACCCACCAUCAUUGGCCUUUCCCUCCACACCCUCUCCCUCUUUGGUCAAGAGGAACAAACUUUGGCACUUCAGGAUCAGUUCAUAUCGGAUCAGAGCUGUGUUAUACGACUCAUUGGAGUAACAUCAGCAUGAGCUGUCUUACCCCGGCACUGUCGGCUGGCACUCAUACCCUGGUACUCUCCGCUGAUGGCUUUGGUGCUGCUGCCAGGGAAGUGGAGUACGUACUGCAGGUGACCUCGGCCUCAGCUACCCAGGGGUCAGUGAAGGGUGGCACGCUGGUCAGGCUGGGCGGCACAGGCUUCAGCUCGGAUUGUUCCCGCCUCAAGGUGAAGCUGGGCCAGGUGUAUGAGUGUGAGGUGCUGCAGUGCUCCGAUGAGGCCCUCACCUGCAUCACCAGGCCCAUCACCACCAACCACAGGAUUGUGAAUGUUGGCACCAGCUCUGAGACUGUAUCAUGGUAUCCUCGUGUGCUGGAGGUAGUGGAGGGAGACUCAGUGACCUGGCAGUGGAGUAAGGUGUCUGAGAACUCACAGCUGCAGUACGGAGUGUGUGAGGUGGCCAGCCCUGUGGAUAACUGUGAGGACGCUGAUGGUUCUGGCUUCUUCUCAGGGACACAGACUGCUGCAGGCUCUUUCACAGUGGCCUUCCCCCAGCAAGGCAUCCACUAUUAUGCUGGCCCCACACUGCCUGGUGGUGUGGUGAUGCGGGGCCAAGUCAACGUGGUACGGCCACCUCAUCAGGCCCUCAGGAUGGCCGUACUGCUGGGUGACAAGGAAGCCACCUACCAGGUUGCCGGGAGUCAGGUCGUCAACAUGAGUGGCUGUGACCCCAUCCUGGAGAUGCCUCUGGAUGGGUGUGACCUCCCUGACCUGACCACACCAGAAAAUGGAUACCUGUACUUUCAUUUCCACACCUGUCACACACCUGUGGUCUCUGCCCUGGCCUCCUCCACCACCCACACUGAAGGGCCUGAGCGGCCUGCAGGUGGUGGGUGGCGACUCUCUCACCAUCACUGGAUCAGGCUUUGGUGACCUGGCCUGCCAGGUAGAGGUCAGUGUUGGUGAAGUAUCCUGUAGUGUGACCUCUGCUUCAGACACCUCUGUGACUUGCGAUCUGGACGACCUGGACAACCUGAGGUCGGGUGCAUACCUGCCCAUCACUGUCAAGGCAAUCAACAGGUGCCGGCCAAGAUGGACACCCUUACCUUCACCUACAGUGAGGCACUCACCCCUGUGGUCACCAGCAUGGCAGUGCAGGGCGAGGAAGUGACAUUGUCUGGCCACAACUUUGGCAGUGACAACACCAAGGUCACCAU